rnacentral:rRNA from 1 species
UACGUAGGUGGCAAGCGUUGUCCGGAAUUAUUGGGCGUAAAGCGCGCGCAGGCGGUUCUUUAAGUCUGAUGUGAAAGCCCACGGCUCAACCGUGGAGGGUCAUUGGAAACUGGAGAACUUGAGUACAGAAGAGGAAAGCGGAAUUCCACGUGUAGCGGUGAAAUGCGUAGAGAUGUGGAGGAACACCAGUGGCGAAGGCGGCUUUCUGGUCUGUAACUGACGCUGAGGCGCGAAAGCGUGGGGAGCGAUCCGG